rnacentral:rRNA from 1 species
UACGUAGGGUGCGAGCGUUGUCCGGAAUUAUUGGGCGUAAAGGGCUCGUAGGCGGUUUGUCGCGUCGGGAGUGAAAUCCACUGGCUUAACCUGGGAACUGCAUUCGAGACUGCAUUGCUAGAGUAUGGGAGAGGGAAGUGGAAUUUCCGGUGUAGCGGUGAAAUGCGUAGAUAUCGGAAGGAACAUCAGUGGCGAAAGCGACUUCCUGGACCAAUACUGACGCUCAUGUGCGAAAGCGUGGGGAGCAAACAGG